AUUAUUGGAGCAAAACCAGUCUUGUACUGUUUGCUAACUCUGGAUAAUUCUGCUUAUCGCAUGGUCUCGUACCGGCGAAGUUUCUUUCAAGUAUCUGCUUUAUCAACUAUCGUUGGUAGUUUAUUGGACUACCAUGGUGUUGACGGGUAACGGAGAAUCAGGGUUUGACUCCGGAGAGGGAGCCUUAGAAACGGCUACCAUGUCUAAGGAUAGCAGCAGGCGCGAAAAUUACCCAAUAUCAAAACGAUGAGGUAGUGACGAGAAAUAACGAGAUCGUUCUCUUUGAGGUCGGUUAUUGGAAUGAGUACAAUCCAGACAUUUUAACGAGUAUCUACGAGAGGGCAAGUCUGGUGCCAGCAGCCGCGGUAAUUCCAGCUCUCGUAAUGUAUAGAAUUAUUGUUGCGAUUAAAAAGUUCGUAGUUGGAUUGUCAAGCGGGAAUGGGUCCACCUUCGCGGUGCGUACUCAAUGCCCGCAUUUUGCUGGUUUUCGCGGCGUCGACUCUGUUGGCGUUCGUGAUGCCAGCAGGAUUACUUUGAACGGCUCAAGUGCUCAAAGCGAGUCUUAUGACUGAAUACCGGUGCAUGGAAUAAUGGAACAAGGUUGCGGCCGAGUUUUAUUGGUUUUGUCGGCUGAAACAAUGGUUAACAGGAACAGCCGGGGGCAUUCGUAUCGCUGCGCGAGAGGUGAAAUUCGUGGACCGUAGCGAGACGCCCGACAGCGAAGGCAUUUGCCAAGAGUGUUUUCAUUAAUCAAGAACGAAAGUCAGAGGUUCGAAGGCGAUUAGAUACCGCCCUAGUUCUGACC
rnacentral:rRNA from 1 species